GACAGAGGUGCCGAGCGUUUAGGCGGAAUCACUGGGCUUAAAGCGUGUGUAGGCGGACUUGUAAGUACCUUGUGAAAAUCCCACAGCUCAACUGUGGAACUGCUUGGUAUACUGCUUGUCUUGAGCCACUUAGGGGCAGUCGGAACAGACGGUGGAGCGGUGAAAUGCGUAGAUAUCGUCUGGAACGCCAAAGGUGAAAACAGAACUGCUGGGAGUGUGCUGAACGCUGAGACACGAAAAGCCAGGGGAGCAAAGCAGG
rnacentral:rRNA from 1 species